UCUUAGACCCAACCCUUUCUCUUUGUAAUCUCUCCCUCUCUGAAUUCUCUCCCUUUCAAAUUCCUCCCUCUCUUGAAUCCCCUCCUCACUCAAGCUCAAGAUUUUGCGUUUGAUUUCUCACCGCCGCUCAGCUACUAGUGCACCUCUCACACCUCAUGCACAUCCUGCUCCGAUUGGUAGUGCUCUACCAAUUGUAGAGCCUACAACUGUUACACCGGCUGCUCCCCCGGUUUUUGAGGUGCCGACGUCAUCCACCGCUUCAGUGAUGCAUCUACAGAUGAGCGCUCGUCGGACUCACUGGCGACCACCCAGAGCAGACUCUCGUGACAUCCACAGUGGAGGGAAAGGGAUCACAGACAUGUAGUAUUAAAUUAUUGAUAUUGUAAUUUUUUUGCAUUUUAAAAAUAUUUGUUGAUUAUUAUAAUCGGGUGCAUGCUGCGAAUGUUGGUUUCAUGAUAUAUAAGUGAAAAAAUUGUUGAAA